rnacentral:rRNA from 1 species
CGGGUGAGUAACACGUGGAUAACCUACCUAUAAGACUGGGAUAACUUCGGGAAACCGGAGCUAAUACCGGAUAAUAUAUUGAACCGCAUGGUUCAAUAGUGAAAGACGGUUUUGCUGUCACUUAUAGAUGGAUCCGCGCUGCAUUAGCUAGUUGGUAAGGUAACGGCUUACCAAGGCAACGAUGCGUAGCCGACCUGAGAGGGUGAUCGGCCACACUGGAACUGAGACACGGUCCAGACUCCUACGGGAGGCAGCAGCG